GUCGAACGCUUCUUUCCUCCCGAGUGCUUGCACUCAAUUGGAAAGAGGAGUGGCGGACGGGUGAGUAACACGUGGGUAACCUACCCAUCAGAGGGGGAUAACACUUGGAAACAGGUGCUAAUACCGCAUAACAGUUUAUGCCGCAUGGCAUAAGAGUGAAAGGCGCUUUCGGGUGUCGCUGAUGGAUGGACCCGCGGUGCAUUAGCUAGUUGGUGAGGUAACGGCUCACCAAGGCCACGAUGCAUAGCCGACCUGAGAGGGUGAUCGGCCACACUGGGACUGAGACACGGCCCAGACUCCUACGGGAGGCAGCAGUAGGGAAUCUUCGGCAAUGGACGAAAGUCUGACCGAGCAACGCCGCGUGAGUGAAGAAGGUUUUCGGAUCGUAAAACUCUGUUGUUAGAGAAGAACAAGGACGUUAGUAACUGAACGUCCCCUGACGGUAUCUAACCAGAAAGCCACGGCUAACUACGUGCCAGCAGCCGCGGUAAUACGUAGGUGGCAAGCGUUGUCCGGAUUUAUUGGGCGUAAAGCGAGCGCAGGCGGUUUCUUAAGUCUGAUGUGAAAGCCCCCGGCUCAACCGGGGAGGGUCAUUGGAAACUGGGAGACUUGAGUGCAGAAGAGGAGAGUGGAAUUCCAUGUGUAGCGGUGAAAUGCCUAGAUAUAUGGAGGAACACCAGUGGCGAA
rnacentral:rRNA from 1 species